rnacentral:lncRNA from 1 species
AACAUACUGAAGACGUGGAAAGGUUGAUGAAACAAAAAAAAGGUAAGCAAAAACAGACAUAAUCUUCAUCAACAACGCCAACUAAUACUUUAGAAGCCUAUAACAUCGACAAGUACAAAAACAUUAGAGAAUGUAUAUUACAAAAUCCAUCGGGGUAAGAUAUUCAAUUUUACGUUGCUAACUUAAAUAUUAUAAUUUGUAUUUUACUCAUUUAAAUAUUAUAAUUUUUAUUUUUCUCUUAUGCAGCGCAUAUUGGAACGAUGGAAUCGGCAAUCUAUACGGAAGACAAUCUCUAGAAAAUAUACUGGAUGAAACAAAAAAUAUAAAUAUUGUUGUAAGUAAAAUUUAAUAAUCAUAAUUUAUUUUUCUCCAUUAUUCAUAUAUCGAAUUUACAUUUUUAUACUAGC